CCUACGGGUGGCAGCAGUGAGGAAUAUUGGUCAAUGGACGAGAGUCUGAACCAGCCAAGUAGCGUGAAGGAUGACUGCCCUAUGGGUUGUAAACUUCUUUUAUAUGGGAAUAAAAUGUUCCACGUGUGGGAUUUUGUAUGUACCAUAUGAAUAAGGUUCGGUUAACUCGGUGCCAGCAGCCACGGUAAUACGGAGGAUCCGAGCGUUAUCCGGAUUUAUUGGGUUUAAAGGGAGCGUAGGUGGAUUGUUAAGUCAGUUGUGAAAGUUUGCGGCUCAACCGUAAAAUUGCAGUUGAAACUGGCAGUCUUGAGUACAGUAGAGGUGGGCGGAAUUCGUGGUGUAGCGGUGAAAUGCUUAGAUAUCACGAAGAACUCCGAUUGCGAAGGCAGCUCACUGGACUGCAACUGACACUGAGGCUCGAAAGUGUGGGGAGCAAACAGGAUUAGAUACCCGGGUAGUC
rnacentral:rRNA from 1 species